rnacentral:rRNA from 1 species
AACGAACGCUGGCGGCAUGCCUAACACAUGCAAGUCGAACGAGACCUUCGGGUCUAGUGGCGCACGGGUGCGUAACGCGUGGGAAUCUGCCCUUGGGUUCGGAAUAACAGUUGGAAACGACUGCUAAUACCGGAUGAUGACGUAAGUCCAAAGAUUUAUCGCGCAAGGAUGAGCCCGCGUAGGAUUAGCUAGUUGGUGAGGUAAAGGCUCACCAAGGCGACGAUCCUUAGCUGGUCUGAGAGGAUGAUCAGCCACACUGGGACUGAGACACGGCCCAGAAUCCUACGGGAUGCAGCAGUGGGUGAUAUUGGACAACGGGCGAAAGCCUGAUCCAGUAAUGCCGCGUGAGUGAUGAAGGCCUGAGGGUAGUAAAGCUCUUUUACCCGGGAGGAUAAUGACAGUACCGGAAGAAUAAGCUCCGGCUAACUCCGUG